GCAUAUAAAGGAUAAUAGCUCAUCCCCUGGCCUUAGGAGCCAAAAACUCUUGGUGCAAAUCCAAGUAUAUGUA
rnacentral:tRNA from 1 species